rnacentral:misc_RNA from 1 species
GAAAUGCGUUACCUAGUGUGACAUGCAUACACUCGUGAAUCACCGACAUCUUGAACGUAUCUGACAGGGCUUGCUUAAGCGAGUCCUAAUCACGGGCGAGUGCCAAUAUUUCACCGAAUCAAAUUAAAAAUUGAGUUCUCGGGUAUUACCCGUAACUUUAAAUACAAAAACUUCAGUCAAAUACACGGUAAAUCACCGCUAAAAAGACCGAUAGUUUUUUCCUUUUUUUUUAUUAUUUUCUCGGUUAAUGACCGAGAAAGUCUAAUUUGACCUCGACCGUGAUAGAUUACCCGCUGAAUUUAA